GACGAACGCUGGCGGCGUGCCUAAUACAUGCAAGUAGAACGCACAGUUUAUACCGUAGCUUGCUACACCAUAAACUGUGAGUUGCGAACGGGUGAGUAACGCGUAGGUAACCUGCCUGGUAGCGGGGGAUAACUAUUGGAAACGAUAGCUAAUACCGCAUAAUAUUGAUUAUUGCAUGAUAAUUGAUUGAAAGAUGCUAUUGCAUCACUACCAGAUGGACCUGCGUUGUAUUAGCUAGUAGGUGAGGUAACGGCUCACCUAGGCGACGAUACAUAGCCGACCUGAGAGGGUGAGCGGCCACACUGGGACUGAGACACGGCCCAGACCCCUACGGGAGGCAGCAGGAGGGAAUCUUCGGCAAUGGACGAAAGUCUGACCGAGCAACGCCGCGGGAGUGAAGAAGGGUUUCGGAUCGUAAAGCUCUGUUGUAAGAGAAGAACGGGUGUGAGAGUGGAAAGUUCACACUGUGACGGUAUCUUACCAGAAAGGGACGGCUAACUACGUG
rnacentral:rRNA from 1 species